GGGACACGUGGUAUCCUGUCUGAAUAUGGGGGGACCAUCCUCCAAGGCUAAAUACUCCUGACUGACCGAUAGUGAACCAGUACCGUGAGGGAAAGGCGAAAAGAACCCCGGCGAGGGGAGUGAAAAAGAACCUGAAACCGUGUACGUACAAGCAGUGGGAGCACGCUUAGGCGUGUGACUGCGUACCUUUUGUAUAAUGGGUCAGCGACUUAUAUUCUGUAGCAAGGUUAACCGAAUAGGGGAGCCGAAGGGAAACCGAGUCUUAACUGGGCGUUAAGUUGCAGGGUAUAGACCCGAAACCCGGUGAUCUAGCCAUGGGCAGGUUGAAGGUUGGGUAACACUAACUGGAGGACCGAACCGACUAAUGUUGAAAAAUUAGCGGAUGACUUGUGGCUGGGGGUGAAAGGCCAAUCAAACCGGGAGAUAGCUGGUUCUCC
rnacentral:rRNA from 1 species